rnacentral:rRNA from 1 species
GAUGAACGCUGACAGAAUGCUUAACACAUGCAAGUCAACUUGAAUUUGGGUUUUUAACUUAGAUUUGGGUGGCGGACGGGUGAGUAACGCGUAAAGAACUUGCCUCACAGCUAGGGACAACAUUUAGAAAUGAAUGCUAAUACCUGAUAUUAUGAUUUUAAGGCAUCUUAGAAUUAUGAAAGCUAUAAGCACUGUGAGAGAGCUUUGCGUCCCAUUAGCUAGUUGGAGAGGUAACAGCUCACCAAGGCGAUGAUGGGUAGCCGGCCUGAGAGGGUGAACGGCCACAAGGGGACUGAGACACGGCCCUUACUCCUACGGGAGGCAGCAGUGGGGAAUAUUGGGCAAUGGACCGAAAGUCUGAUCCAGCAAUUCUGUGUGCACGAUGAAGUUUUUCGGAAUGUAAAGUGCUUUCAGUUGGGAAGAAAGAAAUGACGGUACCAACAGAAGAAGUGACGGCUAAAUACGUGCCAGCAGCCGCGGUAAUACGUAUGUCACGAGCGUUAUCCGGAUUUAUUGGGCGUAAAGCGCGUCUAGGUGGUUAUGUAAGUCUGAUGUGAAAAUGCAGGGCUCAACUCUGUAUUGCGUUGGAAACUGUAUAACUAGAGUACUGGAGAGGUAAGCGGAACUACAAGUGUAGAGGUGAAAUUCGUAGAUAUUUGUAGGAAUGCCGAUGGGGAAGCCAGCUUACUGGACAGAUACUGACGCUAAAGCGCGAAAGCGUGGGUAGCAAACAGG